rnacentral:rRNA from 1 species
UACGAAGGGGGCUAGCGUUGCUCGGAAUCACUGGGCGUAAAGGGUGCGUAGGCGGGUUUUUAAGUCAGAGGUGAAAUCCUGGAGCUCAACUCCGGAACUGCCUUUGAUACUGAAGAUCUUGAGUCCGGAAGAGGUGAGUGGAACUGCGAGUGUAGAGGUGAAAUUCGUAGAUAUUCGCAAGAACACCAGUGGCGAAGGCGGCUCACUGGUCCGGUACUGACGCUGAGGCACGAAAGCGUGGGGAGCAAACAGG